rnacentral:rRNA from 1 species
CCUACGGGAGGCAGCAGUGGGGAAUAUUGGACAAUGGGGGGAACCCUGAUCCAGCGACGCCGCGUGAGUGAAGAAGUAUUUCGGUAUGUAAAGCUCUAUCAGCAGGGAAGAAAAUGACGGUACCUGACUAAGAAGCCCCGGCUAACUACGUGCCAGCAGCCGCGGUAAUACGUAGGGGGCAAGCGUUAUCCGGAUUUACUGGGUGUAAAGGGAGCGUAGACGGCGGGGCAAGCCAGAUGUGAAAGCCCGGGGCUCAACCCCGGGACUGCAUUUGGAACUGUGCUGCUAGAGUGUCGGAGAGGCAGGCGGAAUUCCUAGUGUAGCGGUGAAAUGCGUAGAUAUUAGGAGGAACACCAGUGGCGAAGGCAGCCUGCUGGACGAUGACUGACGUUGAGGCUCGAAAGCGUGGGGAGCAAACAGGAUUAGAUACCCGAGUAGUC